GAUCGGUGUUCACAGCACCCUGGGAGUUUUGGUCCGGACCGCGGUGCCUCGCUGCUCGCAGGCGUAUCCCUUCUCCUCCCCGCCAGUGCGCAGGCGCAACCCACUCUUCCCGGGCCCCGCCCGCAAGCACACACAGCCCAGCGGCUAGGUCCCGACACCCGCCCACGGGGACCGCGCCGCACACAGACAAAAGAGGAAGAGGAUUCCCAGGAGGAAGAAUUAUACCCCCAAAUGUAAAGGUUGAAAAGAGACACUUAUACUCUGUUGGAAAGAUGUGUGAUGGCACAGUGUGCGAAGCAUGCCAGAGCCUUUCCCUCUGGGAGGAUUUUUACCAAAAUGCUACAUGAUUUUCUCGGUGGUGAAAAUGAAGGCAACUCUUACUUCCAUCAUUAAUGCAAGUAAUGGUAAUGCAAGUAUAAAGCCAUAAAUAGGAAAAACAGGCAACUUAAGAACGAAUGUACAAGAUGCAUUAAAAAUGAACUGCUUGGGCUUCCCUGGUGGUGCAAUGGUUAAGAAUCCACCUGCCAGGGCUUCCCUGGUGGCGCAGUGGUUGAGAAUCUGCCUGCCAAUGCAGGGGACACGGGUUCGAGCCCUGGUCUGGGAGGAUCCCACAUGCCGCGGAUCGGCUGGGCCCGAGAGCCACAACUACUGAGCCUGCGCAUCUGGAGCCUGUGCUCCGCAACGAGAGGCCACGACAGUGAGAGGCCCGCGCACCGCGAUGAAGAGUGGCCCCCACUUGCCACAACUAGAGAUAGCCCUCGCAUAGAAACGAAGACCCAACACAGCAAAAAUAAAUUAAUUAAUAAAAAAAGAGCACUUGUAAUAAAGAUGUUUGUAAGGAAAAAACAAUCUUGUUAUAGACUGAACUGUGUGCCCUAACCCAAUCUGCCUGAUGUUCCUUUAAAAAAAAAAAAAAAAAAAAGAAUCCACCUGCCAAUGCAGGGGACGUGGGUUUGAGCCCUGGUCCGGGAAGAUUCCCACAUGCCACGGAGCAACUAAGCCCAUGUGCCCCAACUACUGAGCCUGUGCUCUAGAGCCCGUGAGCCUAGAGCCCGUGCUCCACAACAAAAGAAGCCACUGCAUUGAGAAGCCCACGCACUGCAACGAAGAGCAGCCCCUGCUCGCCGCAACUAGAGAAAGCCCGCGUGCAGCAACGAAGACCCAACACAGCCAAAAAUAAAUAAAUAAAAAUUUUAAAAAAAUGAAUUGCUUGAUAUCCAGUGCUUCGUGUAUAUCAA